ensembl:lncRNA novel transcript
AGAGAGCAGACUGCAAACCCUGUAACUGAUCCAUGUAUUAUCUGUUCUUUUAACUGAGUAACAUGCUUUUCAAAAGUGUUUUUCCAUGUUUCAGAGACAGAAAAGGGGAGAAAAAGAAGAAGAAAAGGGAGAGGAAAAGGUAAAAGAAAAGAAGAGAAUGAAUUGCAGCUGAGGAAGUGGAAGAGCGAGAAGCGCUUCCAGAUACCAGACUUAACAGGUGGAUUUUUGGGUUUGCUGAAGAAGAAAAAGAAGGAGAAGGAGAAGGAGAAGAAGAAGAGAAGUGUGAUUAACAAGAAAAAAACUUAUUUGGGGGCUAUGAACACCUUGAAUAUUUAACAGAAUAUCAGCUACUCAUCUGUAACCAUUCACUACAUAGCUAAACUUUUAGUAAUAAUGUAG